rnacentral:rRNA from 2 species
UUAAGCGACUAAGCGUACACGGUGGAUGCCCUGGCAGUCAGAGGCGAUGAAGGACGUGCUAAUCUGCGAUAAGCGUCGGUGAGGUGAUAUGAACCGUUAUAACCGGCGAUUUCCGAAUGGGGAAACCCAGUGUGUUUCGACACACUAUCAUUAACUGAAUCCAUAGGUUAAUGAGGCGAACCGGGGGAACUGAAACAUCUAAGUACCCCGAGGAAAAGAAAUCAACCGAGAUUCCCCCAGUAGCGGCGAGCGAACGGGGAGGAGCCCAGAGCCUGAAUCAGUGUGUGUGUUAGUGGAAGCGUCUGGAAAGGCGUGCGAUACAGGGUGACAGCCCCGUACACAAAAAUGCACAUAUUGUGAGCUCGAUGAGUAGGGCGGGACACGUGGUAUCCUGUCUGAAUAUGGGGGGACCAUCCUCCAAGGCUAAAUACUCCUGACUGACCGAUAGUGAACCAGUACCGUGAGGGAAAGGCGAAAAGAACCCCGGCGAGGGGAGUGAAAAAGAACCUGAAACCGUGUACGUACAAGCAGUGGGAGCCUCUUAAUGGGGUGACUGCGUACCUUUUGUAUAAUGGGUCAGCGACUUAUAUUCUGUAGCAAGGUUAACCGAAUAGGGGAGCCGAAGGGAAACCGAGUCUUAACUGGGCGUUAAGUUGCAGGGUAUAGACCCGAAACCCGGUGAUCUAGCCAUGGGCAGGUUGAAGGUUGGGUAACACUAACUGGAGGACCGAACCGACUAAUGUUGAAAAAUUAGCGGAUGACUUGUGGCUGGGGGUGAAAGGCCAAUCAAACCGGGAGAUAGCUGGUUCUCCCCGAAAGCUAUUUAGGUAGCGCCUCGUGAAUUCAUCUCCGGGGGUAGAGCACUGUUUCGGCAAGGGGGUCAUCCCGACUUACCAACCCGAUGCAAACUGCGAAUACCGGAGAAUGUUAUCACGGGAGACACACGGCGGGUGCUAACGUCCGUCGUGAAGAGGGAAACAACCCAGACCGCCAGCUAAGGUCCCAAAGUCAUGGUUAAGUGGGAAACGAUGUGGGAAGGCCCAGACAGCCAGGAUGUUGGCUUAGAAGCAGCCAUCAUUUAAAGAAAGCGUAAUAGCUCACUGGUCGAGUCGGCCUGCGCGGAAGAUGUAACGGGGCUAAACCAUGCACCGAAGCUGCGGCAGCGACACUAUGUGUUGUUGGGUAGGGGAGCGUUCUGUAAGCCUGUGAAGGUGGCCUGUGAGGGUUGCUGGAGGUAUCAGAAGUGCGAAUGCUGACAUAAGUAACGAUAAAGCGGGUGAAAAGCCCGCUCGCCGGAAGACCAAGGGUUCCUGUCCAACGUUAAUCGGGGCAGGGUGAGUCGACCCCUAAGGCGAGGCCGAAAGGCGUAGUCGAUGGGAAACAGGUUAAUAUUCCUGUACUUGGUGUUACUGCGAAGGGGGGACGGAGAAGGCUAUGUUGGCCGGGCGACGGUUGUCCCGGUUUAAGCGUGUAGGCUGGUUUUCCAGGCAAAUCCGGAAAACCAAGGCUGAGGCGUGAUGACGAGGCACUACGGUGCUGAAGCGACAAAUGCCCUGCUUCCAGGAAAAGCCUCUAAGCAUCAGGUAACAUCAAAUCGUACCCCAAACCGACACAGGUGGUCAGGUAGAGAAUACCAAGGCGCUUGAGAGAACUCGGGUGAAGGAACUAGGCAAAAUGGUGCCGUAACUUCGGGAGAAGGCACGCUGAUAUGUAGGUGAAGCGACUUGCUCGUGGAGCUGAAAUCAGUCGAAGAUACCAGCUGGCUGCAACUGUUUAUUAAAAACACAGCACUGUGCAAACACGAAAGUGGACGUAUACGGUGUGACGCCUGCCCGGUGCCGGAAGGUUAAUUGAUGGGGUUAGCGGUAACGCGAAGCUCUUGAUCGAAGCCCCGGUAAACGGCGGCCGUAACUAUAACGGUCCUAAGGUAGCGAAAUUCCUUGUCGGGUAAGUUCCGACCUGCACGAAUGGCGUAAUGAUGGCCAGGCUGUCUCCACCCGAGACUCAGUGAAAUUGAACUCGCUGUGAAGAUGCAGUGUACCCGCGGCAAGACGGAAAGACCCCGUGAACCUUUACUAUAGCUUGACACUGAACAUUGAGCCUUGAUGUGUAGGAUAGGUGGGAGGCUUUGAAGUGUGGACGCCAGUCUGCAUGGAGCCGGCCUUGAAAUACCACCCUUUAAUGUUUGAUGUUCUAACGUUGGCCCGUAAUCCGGGUUGCGGACAGUGUCUGGUGGGUAGUUUGACUGGGGCGGUCUCCUCCUAAAGAGUAACGGAGGAGCACGAAGGUUGGCUAAUCCUGGUCGGACAUCAGGAGGUUAGUGCAAUGGCAUAAGCCAGCUUGACUGCGAGCGUGACGGCGCGAGCAGGUGCGAAAGCAGGUCAUAGUGAUCCGGUGGUUCUGAAUGGAAGGGCCAUCGCUCAACGGAUAAAAGGUACUCCGGGGAUAACAGGCUGAUACCGCCCAAGAGUUCAUAUCGACGGCGGUGUUUGGCACCUCGAUGUCGGCUCAUCACAUCCUGGGGCUGAAGUAGGUCCCAAGGGUAUGGCUGUUCGCCAUUUAAAGUGGUACGCGAGCUGGGUUUAGAACGUCGUGAGACAGUUCGGUCCCUAUCUGCCGUGGGCGCUGGAGAACUGAGGGGGGCUGCUCCUAGUACGAGAGGACCGGAGUGGACGCAUCACUGGUGUUCGGGUUGUCAUGCCAAUGGCACUGCCCGGUAGCUAAAUGCGGAAGAGAUAAGUGCUGAAAGCAUCUAAGCACGAAACUUGCCCCGAGAUGAGUUCUCCCUGAGACCUAGAGUGUCCUGAAGGAACGUUGAAGACGACGACGUUGAUAGGCCGGGUGUGUAAGCGCAGCGAUGCGUUGAGCUAACCGGUACUAAUGAACCGUGAGGCUUAACCUU